GGACGAGCCCAGCCAAACUGCCCGCCUGGGUUGGCCCAUCGUCGCCCUUGCCCAGCAACACUGCAUUGGCCUGACUCCGCCUCGCCUGGCCGUUGACCAAGCCCAGCUCAUGUGCAAGCCGAACCGGCCCUUGUGGCUAUGAGUUUCGAACUGUUCGAAGUGUGAGGAUUCAUUCGACUACGUUGGUUCGUCUGCUUCAUGAAUUCGUUCGUCUUCUAAGCGAGAUCACAUGCAAGAUGAUUAUUUCCCUAGAUACCAUUACUAUCAUUGUCAUGCUAGUUGUCUCGUUUCUUUCGAUAUGUCUCGCUGCCCACCACUUAAAUGGCAGCCUCCCAACAUUGCCAUGAAAAGACUCUAAUCUUUCCACAACCCAACAAACCAAUUUUUUGCCUAUGUCACAGCUUGCUCAACCUUCUUAUAGCAUUGCGAGUUGCAGGUGCGGAUGCUUUGCAUGUGACAACUUGGAUUCCUUGUUAUAUCACCCUAUUAUUGAUAUAUUUUUAAUGCACUUAUAUAUGUGGUAAAAGGUGGAAGACUUGACCUUCUAGCCUAGUGUUUUGUUC